rnacentral:rRNA from 1 species
UACGUAGGUGGCGAGCGUUGUCCGGAAUUACUGGGCGUAAAGGGCGUGUAGGCGGGGGGACAAGUCAGAUGUGAAAUACCGCAGCUUAACUGCGGGGCUGCAUCUGAAACUGUUCUUCUUGAGUGUCGGAGAGGGUGGCGGAAUUCCCGGUGUAGAGGUGAAAUUCGUAGAUAUCGGGAGGAACACCAGUGGCGAAGGCGGCCACCUGGCCGACAACUGACGCUGAGGCGCGAAAGCGUGGGUAGCGAACAGG